rnacentral:lncRNA from 1 species
UUGAGGAGCGUCGUCGCAACCCUGCUGUGUGGAUCACCGCUAGAGAGGAGGACGCUUGACCUCCUUCACCCUCUCCUAAGGAUCUGCAAAGAAACAGGGAUAUACGAUCUCCCUAGGUAACACAAUCUCUAUACGCAGUUUUGUGUUUUGCGGAUUUUUGCGCACCAAUCUUCGCACGACGACGAACAUCUUUUUGGGAAUCGGGGAUUUUGUUUUUCUUGUUCUUCCGCUGCGCAUAUGAUGUCGCCCCCCAAUGAUUUCCCAACAG